UACGUAGGUGGCGAGCGUUAUCCGGAAUCAUUGGGCGUAAAGAGGGAGCAGGCGGCCGCAAGGGUCUGUGGUGAAAGACCGAAGCUAAACUUCGGUAAGCCAUGGAAACCGGGCGGCUAGAGUGCGGAAGAGGAUCGUGGAAUUCCAUGUGUAGCGGUGAAAUGCGUAGAUAUAUGGAGGAACACCAGUGGCGAAGGCGACGGUCUGGGCCGCAACUGACGCUCAUUCCCGAAAGUGUGGGGAGCAAAUAGG
rnacentral:rRNA from 1 species